UACGUAGGUGGCAAGCGUUGUCCGGAUUUACUGGGCGUAAAGAGCGCGCAGGCGGUCGUUCAAGUCGCGUGUGAAAGCCCCCGGCUCAACUGGGGAGGGUCAUUGGAAACUGGGAAGCUUGAGUGCAGAAGAGGAAAGUGGAAUUCCAAGUGUAGCGGUGAAAUGCGUAGAGAUUUGGAGGAACACCAGUGGCGAAGGCGACUUUCUGGUCUGUAACUGACGCUGAGGCGCGAAAGCGUGGGGAGCAAACAGG
rnacentral:rRNA from 1 species